rnacentral:lncRNA from 1 species
CAAAACUCUGGUGCCUUUUGUCUCAUUGUGGGCAAACUGGUANUAGCCGUGGCACAACACUAAUUUUCCUGUUUUUAGGCUCUCAGUUUACAGAGGUAUUUCACUCCCCCUUCUGCCCCCAAAUGUAACCAUCAGGUUUCAUGGACCUUUUGGGGAAAGGGAAGGAAAUACUUAUUCCUAAUUCCACCCCCCCCUUUUGGCUCAGUAAUUUAAAGAGCUGCUUUGCAAAAGUUUCUGUAGAAUUUUAAAUUGUUUAUUUCUGAGGUGCAUAAGGUUCAUGUAUCGAAAGAAUUUACACUUGUCAGAAAAAAACUGAAGAACACUUGAAAAUGAUGAGGAGAGAUUUUUUUUUUUCCUCAACAGAUCCACACUUAUAAAAUAAAGUGGAAAAUGAAGACGAUCAUAUUAAUGAUUCAGGCAAAAGCAAUGUAUUUUUAUUAGAAAUCUCUAACCUUUUAGAGGGGACCUGAAUUAUUCAGCUAGUUGCUUUAAUUUCUUCCUUUGUUUUUAUGCUUAGAUAUAUCAAUUUGGAAUAAAUAUUUUUUUUCUUGAUUAUACCUUCCCCAUUUUUUUUUGACAUUGGUAAAAUGAUCCAAAUUAGAAAGGAAAGAAAAAUCAUCCUUUUCAAUAACAAUGAAGAAAAAAAUGUGUUUCUCUAUUUGGAGUGUACCUUAAUAUAGCAGAACCAUGUAGGCAGAAAAACAGUGCUUAUGAUCAUGUGCUCAAUUAAAUUUAUUAUAGGUUUUUGUACUUUUUGGCAUCACAGUGAAAGCGUAUUAGUUAUUAUUCUUUAUAACCUAAUUGGAGGCUUUGUAUCUGGUUACCCCUCUGUUCUCUGCUUAAUACAAUAGUUUUUUGAUUGCAAAAAUUGCAUUUCUGUGACUUUAAAGUCCUAGAACGAGGUUUGUCAUUGGAAGCGGAAGAUUCAUGCCGGCAUUUGGAGGGCAAGGGACUGUGUGCCCUCUGGGUGUGAGGAGGUAGGCAGCUGGGAACAAUUGUCUCUUCCCUGCGGUGUUCAGUGGCAUUAGCAACGUGUUUGCACGAUAAACUUUGC